rnacentral:rRNA from 1 species
GAUGAACGCUGGCGGCGUGCCUAAUACAUGCAAGUCGAGCGAACAGACGAGGAGCUUGCUCCUCUGACGUUAGCGGCGGACGUGUGAGUAACACGUGGAUAACCUACCUAUAAGACUGGGAUAACUUCGGGAAACCGGAGCUAAUACCGGAUAAUAUAUUGAACCGCAUGGUUCAAUAGUGAAAGACGGUUUUGCUGUCACUUAUAGAUGGAUCCGCGCCGCAUUAGCUAGUUGUUAAGGUAACGGCUUACCAAGGCAACGAUGCGUAGCCGACCUGAGAGGGUGAUCGGCCACACUGGAACUGAGACACGGUCCAGACUCCUACGGGAGGCAGCAGUAGGGAAUCUUCCGCAAUGGGCGAAAGCCUGAUGGAGCAACGCCGCGUGAGUGAUGAAGGUCUUCGGAUCGUAAAACUCUGUUAUUAGGGAAGAACAAAUGUGUAAGUAACUAUGCACGUCUUGACGGUACCUAAUCAGAAAGCCACGGCUAACUACGUG